rnacentral:tRNA from 1 species
GGCCCAGUGGUCUAGAGGUUAAGAGUUCGUACAUGUAAACCGAAGGUCCUGGUUUCGAGUCCUACGUGCGGGGUC